UGCAAGUCGUGCGGUAACAGACAUAAAGAUUUAGCUUGCUAAAUCCGGUGCUGACGAGCGGCGAACGGGUGAGUAACACGUAGGAAUCUACCCAGUAGCGGGGGAUAGCCCAGGGAAACUUGGAUUAAUACCGCAUACGCCCUAAGGGGAAAAGAAGGCCUCUCUUUGAAGCUUUCACUAUUGGAUGAGCCUGCGUAAGAUUAGCUUGUUGGUGGGGUAAAGGCCUACCAAGGCAACGAUCUUUAGCUGGUCUGAGAGGACGAUCAGCCACAUUGGGACUGAGACACGGCCCAGACUUCUACGGAAGGCAGCAGUUAGGAAUAUUGGACAAUGGGGGCAACCCUGAUCCAGCUAUACCGCGUGUGUGAAGAAGGCCCUAGGGUUGUAAAGCACUUUAAGCAGGGAAGAAGCAUAUUAAGUUAAUACCUUAAUAUGUUGACGUUACCUGAAGAAUAAGGACCGGCUAACUCCGUGCCAGCAGCCGCGGUAAUACGGAGGGUCCAAGCGUUAAUCGGAAUUACUGGGCGUAAAGCGCGCGUAGGCGGUUUAAUAAGUUGUAUGUGAAAGCCCUGGGCUCAACCUAGGAACUGCAUACAAAACUAUUAAGCUUGAGGACGAGAGAGGAGAGUAGAAUUUCAGGUGUAGCGGUGAAAUGCGUAGAUAUCUGAAGGAAUACCAAUGGCGAAGGCAGCUCUCUGGCUCGUUUCUGACGCUGAGGUGCGAAAGCGUGGGUAGCAAACAGGAUUAGAUACCCUGGUAGUCCACGCCGUAAACGAUGAUAACUAGCCGUUGGGCAGAUUUAACUGUUCAGUGGCACAGCUAACGCAUUAAGUUAUCCGCCUGGGGAGUACGGCCGCAAGGCUAAAACUCAAAUGAAUUGACGGGGGCCCGCACAAGUGGUGGAGCAUGUGGUUUAAUUCGAUGCAACGC
rnacentral:rRNA from 1 species